GUAUACAGGCAUACCACCCCGAAUAUGCCUGAUCUCAGAUUAUCUUGUAAGCUAAGCAGGGUCAGGCCAGGUUACUACUUGGAUGAUGAGACUGCUUGAGAAUAUCAGGUGCUGUAGGCU
ensembl:rRNA 5S_rRNA 5S ribosomal RNA